GGAAUAAGGUCGAACGGUAAACUUACAAGAUAUAUUUGGUCAAACGAAAACGAGAUAUACUGGUACAAUAAAUAGAAAAUGUAGCAGAGGCAGUUAGUGUGAUACACGUAUGUCGGACGCGCUUGGAGAGAACAUAUAUAGCGGAUGUACUUCCUGUAGGCGAUAGUCUGAUCAACUAAAUUGGGAAAUAUCCGACGUACUUUUGAUCGUGAUUAUAAAGAUUGUUGACCAUGCCUUCCUCUGCCCAGAAGAGGACUGUCAUCCUCGCCGUCGUCAUUGUGGUCUGUACACUACUCAUACUACAUCAGAGUAAGAAUUAUGACUUACAGCAAAUUACAGGUUCGGAACAGAAAGUUCUUCACUUUUUGACCAAGAAGUUCUCGACAUGGCCAAUGGAGAACCCCAUUACAGAAACAGCUAUCCUCCAGAAAUUGAACCUUGAAAAAAUAUCAGAGCUAUAUUUCAG